rnacentral:misc_RNA from 1 species
GAUGAAGAACGUAGCGAAAUGCGGUAAGUAAUGUGAAUUGCAGAAUUCAGUGAAUCAUCGAAUCUUUGAACGCACAUUGCGCCCCCUGGUAUUCCGGGGGGCAUGCCUGUUCGAGCGUCAUUUCACCACUCAAGCCUCGCUUGGUAUUGGGCAACGCGGUCCGCCGCGUGCCUCAAAUCGACCGGCUGGGUCUUCUGUCCCCUAAGCGUUGUGGAAACUAUUCGCUAAAGGGUGUUCGGGAGGCCACGCCGUAAAACAACCCCAUUUCUAAGGUUGACCUCGGAUCAGGUAGGGAUACCCGCUGAACUUAAGCAUAUCAAUAAGCGGAGGA